AGUAAACUCGACGCAAGUAGAGAGGUAUUUAUUAGAUAUCAAACAAGUUUAGGGUAGUGUCCUCACAGACGGGUAACGGGGAAUAAGGGUUCGAUUCCGGAGAGGGGGCGACCUCCAAGGAAGGCAGCAGGCGCGCAAAUUACCCAAUCCCGACAUGGGGAGUAGUGACAAGAAAUAACGAUACAGGGUCCUUACGGAUCUUGUGAUUGGAAUGAGUACAAUUUAAACCCAUUAAAGCGUAUAUUAAAGUUGUUGCAGUUAAAACGCUCGUAGUCGAACUUCGGGCCUGGUCGGCCGGUCCGCCUCCUCGGUAUGUACUGGCUCCAUCGGGGUCUUUCCCCCUGGAUAAGCUCCUGUCUCCUAUAGUGUGUGUUGGGGAACCGAGACUUACACUGAGAAAAUUAGAGUGUUCAAACGCGGCCUGCUCGCUUUACCCUGGAGAAUUGGUUUCCGAACCACCGUAAAAUGAAAGCAUUUGCCACGGAUUUUUCAGAAAGGGGAU
rnacentral:rRNA from 1 species